rnacentral:tRNA from 1 species
GCGCUUGAAGCUAGCUAGGUAGAAGCGCCGGGUUGAAAUUCCGGAGGACUUGGAUCGUUACCAAGCGGGCGCACCA